UUAAACAGGUGCUCCUCACUAAACUGCUCGGCUGAGAUGCUAACUUUGUUAUCAAGAUUUUAUAAUGAUGUGGAGGUGAACAAAAUGACAAAUAACCGAAAACCACAUCGUGUUUUCUUAGGAAAAGAUGAGUACGGGUGAAAUUCAGCGCCAUGUUGGAGCGGUUUCCCCCGAGCGCGUGCGUUAGGAUUCCCGGUCUGAGAUGCGUCAGGAAUCAACUUGAUCAGAUGGGAGAGGACUAGCUGAAGUGAAGCAGAGUGGGAGCAUUUCUUCUCCUGAAGCUCAGAAGGUCAUCAGUUUUCUUCCCAGGUCUGCUUUUCGAUGUCCAGGCGUUCCUGUAAGGCCUUCAACUCCACCUUAGUAAACAAACAACAUUCUGUUAACAAGCCGCAGCCCUGCUAACUUCUUGAUGAAGCUUGAUCUAGCUCCUCUCUGAGAGUUCGUCCAGCCAGGGAGCUGUUCUCCUCUAACUGCCUCCUAAGAUCCUCCAGUUCAGCUCGCUGCCUAGAGGACAGGGACA